AGAAACUUGUUAAGGAAGUCACACAAGAUACUCAGAUGAAUUAGGGCUUCAAAGGCAAACAAGCUUCAAACUCUUGGUGAAUUCUUGAUCAAAAUGAAAAAUAAAUAACAUAGGGAUCCAUAUAUGAUGUUUAUAACCAUUGUUAACCUUUCAUUGAUUGAUCCCUUGCAUUGAGGGUCUCAAACCCUAGAUGUGAGCUUGAUGAGGCGCAAGUGGAC
rnacentral:lncRNA from 1 species